UACGUAGGGGGCGAGCGUUGUCCGGAUUUAUUGGGCGUAAAGAGCUCGUAGGCGGUUUGGUAAGUCGGGUGUGAAAUCUCCACGCUCAACGUGGAGGGGCCACUCGAUACUGCCAUGACUCGAGUCCGGUAGAGGAGUGUGGAAUUCCCGGUGUAGCGGUGAAAUGCGCAGAUAUCGGGAGGAACACCCGUAGCGAAGGCGGCACUCUGGGCCGGAACUGACGCUGAGGAGCGAAAGCUAGGGGAGCGAACGGG
rnacentral:rRNA from 1 species